GAAGAGUGGGGGAUUAGAUUGUGCUAAAAAACAAAAAAGGCGAAAAUGAUCGGAAAGAAGAUGGUUCGGAGAGACAUACAAAUACAAGAAAAGAAAGAACCAUUCACAACGAAGGAAAGUAGACUCGCACUCACUACUCUUCUCUUCUGAGCGAAAGAGCAGUUGAGUGAGUGAGUGAGGGACUCUUCGAUCUCGACAUGUUCCGUCGCCUCUUCCAAGCUACCACCGCCAACCAACUUUCCUCUGCUCUCACCGUUCUCUCUCUCCGAUCCUUCUGCACCUCCUUUCGAAAUGUUGAAAGUUUGGAACUUGCAAAAUCUACCACCUUCAUUCACCCCACUGCCAUUGUUGACCCCAAUGCUAAAGUUGGUCUGGGUGUUUCCAUUGGUCCCUUUUGUACUGUUGGGUCCUCUGCAAAGCUUGGGAAUGGUUGUAAAUUGCAUACGGCAAGCCAUGUAUAUGGUAAUACAGAAUUGGGGGACGAUUGCAUUCUGAUGACUGGUGCUGUGGUUGGUGAUGAUCUCCCAGGGCGUACUGUGAUGGGAUGCAACAACGUUGUGGGACAUUAUGCCGUUGUUGGGAUUAGAGGCCAAGAUUUGAAGUACAAGCCAGGUGAUGAAUGUUUUCUUGAUGUUGGGGAGAACAACGAUAUCAGAGAACAUACGUCAAUACACCGAUCUUCAAAAUCAAGUGACAAAACUGUUAUUGGAAACAACAAUCUGAUCAUGGGCUCUUGUCAUAUUGCUCACGAUUGCAAAGUAGGAAACAAUAAUAUUUUUGCAAAUGGCACGCUUCUAGCAGGACAUGUUGUGGUUGAAGACUUUGCUCACACUGCUGGAGGUGCUGCUGUUCAUCAGUUCUGCCAUAUUGGCUCUUUCUCGUUCAUUGGUGCUGGUGCAAUGGUUAAAAAGGAUGUUCCAAAGUACAUGAUGGUUGCAGGAGAUGGACCUGAGCUUCGCAGUUUGAAUUUGGAGGGCCUUCGACGCAAUGGGUUUACAGCUACUGAGGACCUAGAUCACAAGCCUAAGAACAGCUUACAGAAAGAUUUUCAUGCCCUUUCAAGAGGAUGCCAGGGGUUUCGAAGAACGUCUUGCAGAAGUGGAGCAGGAUGAGAAACUGGCAAAUGUUCCUGCAGUAUGUUACAUGGUUCAUUCUAUUCGCAAAUCUCUUGAAGGAGAGCGACGAGGAAUAUGCAAACAUAGACUUUGGAAUAGCUCUUAAAUCCAUCUUAUAAAGAUUAAACCCAACUUUUGAUAUCUCGUAAGGGGGUGAAGGACCUGGACUGAUAUCAUGUGAACGAAGACUUAAACAUGCAGCUUUUGAGUUGAGUUAUUUUGAAGGUAGAUUCUUUAGCACUUGCUUUAUUAUAUAAAAAGAAUCUUUGUAUUGAUAAAGGCUGUAAUUGCAGAGAGAAUAUGCGGAUGGAAACUACGACACAUAUAUAUAUAUAUUUAUGUGUAUAAUAGGCAUGGAGUAAGUCAUAACGUAUAUGUAAAGGGAAUGACCAGUUGAGUUUGUUGUUUAGUGGUAAUUAGCUUAGAAAUUUCGUUGAAUGAUGACAGAACUCAAUUAGUUGGUUAAGUGCUAAUUAAUAUGACCAUAUAAAUAAGUACAAGCUUAUUGGUAGAAGCAAUUGAAUUCUUUGGAUAGCUUUCUUU